CUACGUGCCAGCAGCCGCGGUAAUACGGAAGGUCCAGGCGUUAUCCGGAUUUAUUGGGUUUAAAGGGAGCGUAGGCUGGAGAUUAAGUGUGUUGUGAAAUGUAGACGCUCAACGUCUGACUUGCAGCGCAUACUGGUUUCCUUGAGUACGCACAACGUUGGCGGAAUUCGUCGUGUAGCGGUGAAAUGCUUAGAUAUGACGAAGAACUCCGAUUGCGAAGGCAGCUGACGGGAGCGCAACUGACGCUGAAGCUCGAAGGUGCGGGUAUCGAACAGGAUUAGAUACCCUGGUAGUCCGCACAGUAAACGAUGGAUGCCCGCUGUUGGUACCUGGUAUCAGCGGCUAAGCGAAAGCAUUAAGCAUCCCGCCUGGGGAGUACGCCGGCAACGGUGAAACUCAAAGGAAUUGACGGGGGCCCGCACAAGCGGAGGAACAUGUGGUUUAAUUCGAUGAUACGCGAGGAACCUUACCCGGGCUUGAAUUGCAGAGGAAGGAUUUAGAGAUA
rnacentral:rRNA from 1 species